UACGAGUGGUGCAAGCGUUACCCGGAUUUACUGGGUGUAAAGGGUUCGCAGGUUGAUUUAUAAGUUAAGUAUGAAAGACCGAAGCUCAACUUCGUGUUUGUAUUUAAAACUGUAAAUCUAGAAUUAGGGAGAGGUAAGCAGAAUUCUAAGUGUAGGGGUGCAAUCCGUAGAUACUUAGAAGAAUACCAAAAGCGAAGGCAGCUUACUGGAACUAUAUUGACACUAAUGAACGAAAGCGUGGGUAGCGAAA
rnacentral:rRNA from 1 species